GAUGAACGCUGGCGGCGUGCCUAAUACAUGCAAGUCGAGCGAAUGGAUUAAGAGCUUGCUCUUAUGAAGUUAGCGGCGGACGGGUGAGUAACACGUGGGUAACCUGCCCAUAAGACUGGGAUAACUCCGGGAAACCGGGGCUAAUACCGGAUAACAUUUUGAACCGCAUGGUUCGAAAUUGAAAGGCGGCUUCGGCUGUCACUUAUGGAUGGACCCGCGUCGCAUUAGCUAGUUGGUGAGGUAACGGCUCACCAAGGCAACGAUGCGUAGCCGACCUGAGAGGGUGAUAGGCCACACCGGGACUGAGACACGGCCAAGACUCCUACGGGAGGCAGCAGUAGGGAAUCUUCCGCAAUGGACGAAAGUCUGACGGAGCAACGCCGCGUGAGUGAUGAAGGCUUUCGGGUCGUAAAACUCUGUUGUUAGGGAAGAACAAGUGCUAGUUGAAUAAGCUGGCACCUUGACGGUACCUAACCUGAAAGCCACGGCUAACUACGUGCCAGCAGCCGCGGUAA
rnacentral:rRNA from 1 species